AGCCCAUCCUCCAUAGGCCUUGCCUCCAUAUAAAGACGGUUGUGCUUAUUCGGAGACUUGCUCAUCACCACACGGCAAGAUUUCUCAAGGACGGUCUCACGGAAGGACACAACAGGGUCCGACUUGAUGAUCUCAGCCCCACCCAUGAAAUCUUCCUGCAAAUCCUUCAAGCAUAUCUCCAGGUGAAGUUCUCCUGCACCAGCAAUGAUGUGCUCCCCAGACUCCUCAAUGGUACAGACAACCAUAGGAUCUGACUUGGCCAAACG
rnacentral:misc_RNA from 1 species